UCCAGGGUAGCCUAGUGGACAUGGCAUCUGCCCGGUAAACAGAACACUGUGGGUUCGUUUCCCAUCCCUGGAC
rnacentral:tRNA from 1 species